ensembl:lincRNA
GAGCUGUGAGCUUCUAAGUAAAUGUUCCCCUCAAGUUCCUCUGGUCCAUAAUAUUCUUUGCAGAUGUUGAAGGAUGGGCUGGAUUGACUUGGAACCUUUUUCCAGCAGAGCCCAUGUGUUCAUGAAGAAAACGUUUGCUCAGAUCUGAUUUGUACCGCUGCCUCUCUUUCACUGUUUUAAACACCUGUAGCUAUGUGUUCACAAUUGUGUUUAGUUUCAACGUAUUACCAUCAUUUUUCUAGGAAAAUAAUUACAUGUUUAGAUUCUUGCCAUCAGAACUUUAGACAUGGAAAGAGACAUUUCAUUUGCUCAGGUGUGUAACAUGGUCCUGGAAUUUUUUUUCUCCUUUUUUCGAGACAAGAGUGUCACUCUGUCACCCAUGCUUGAGUGCAGUGAUACUAUCUUGCCUCAUUGCAACAUCCACCUCCCAGGUGCAGUGAUCCACCCCACUCAGCCUCCCAAAUAGCUGAGACCACAGAUGCACACCACAAAACACGGCUAAUUUUUUUGUGCUUUUGGUAGAGACAGGGUUUCACCAUGCUUCCCAGGUUGAUUUCAAACUCCUGGCCUCAAGUGAUCUAGCCACUUCAGCCUCUCAAAGUGCUGGGAUUACAGGGGUGAGCCACCAUGCCCAGCCCAUCCUGGAAUUUUCUAGAGAAGGAAGACUAACACAGCCUAUUGGUGCUUCCAGGCCAUCACAUGGGAAUCAGCCGCACCUCUUUCCAACUCAACUCAGAGCUUCUCAGGAUCACUUGAAGUAUUUCCUGCUCGGAACAACAGUGACUCAACCCGUAAUGUUCAGUACGGCAUCCACCCUCAACAAUACCUACAAUGACACAGGUGAUUCUCAUCUGUCUCCAGCAUUGAAUGUCAAGGCAGUUUCCUCCAUGUUGAGAGCUGAGAUCAGCCUGUGAUCCACAGGGAGGAUUGAUUUCCAAAGACUCAUGUGAGGAAGCCACCAAGAAGAGCAAAGAAAAGGAUCCAGGGAUGGCUCUUCCUCAGGUGAGUGAUAUUCCUCGGUGGAUUCCGCUGUCUCUUUCCUUUCUGAAAUGCCAGGUAUUGUAGUAGCCAGUCUUCUCUGAGUCUGAAGCAUCCUGCCUCACACAUUUGCUGGCACUCACCCAAGACUUUUCUCAGUCCUUGUCAUCUUGACUUAAAUUCCCUCUCCUAUAACCUAGUGAAUGAGCUUGGGAAGAGACUCCCCUGGGCAUGGGCCUGGGAAGGGCUCACACCAGACAUGGAUGGAGAUGGGGUGUGGACCCCGUGCUGUCAGUGAUGUUGGGCAGCAGGGAUUGUUUAGAGACCACACCUGGAUGAAUGUUUAGCUCUUUGUAAACCUGAUCAGAAAAUCUAUAUAUGAAAGUCAUUCAUUAAUGUGCACUGGUAUCUGGUAAAUUCUAGAAAAGGAAACAAACUAGGGGAGAUAUUUUGUAUCUGAUUUUGUAAUACGUUUGAAGUUACGCUAGUGAGUCAAUAUGUCUCUGACUCCAAACUGUUUUUUUAAGAGACAGGUGUCAUUCUGGGGCCCAGUCUGGAGUGCAGUGGCACAAUUUUAGUUUACAGCAGCCUCAAAUUUGUGGCCUCAACUGAUCCCCACAUUAGCCUCUCACGUAGUUGCAGGGGCCAUUGAAAAUAAUAUGCUAAGAAUAGGUAAGGCUCAAGGACAGUAUCUCUAGCUAGUUGCACUUUCCAUGAACUCCAGUAGUCAAGGACAGUAUCUCUAGCUAGUUGCACUUUCCAUGAACUCCAGUAGUCAAGGACAGUAUCUCUAGUUGAACUUUUAAUGAACUCUAGUAGGCGCCAAGAAGGCAGACAAAUAAGAAAGAGCUUAGAGACAAGGAACUAAGCAGAAGGUUACAUCUGGGUGCAGA